rnacentral:rRNA from 1 species
UGCGUAGGCGGACUAAUAAGUCAGUGGUGAAAUCUCUCGGCUCAACCGGGAAACUGCCAUUGAUACUGUUAGUCUUGAGUUCGGUUGAGGUAGGCGGAAUGUGUAAUGUAGCGGUGAAAUGCUUAGAUAUUACACAGAACACCAAUUGCGUAGGCAGCUUACUAGACCGACACUGACGCUGAGGCACGAAAGCGUGGGUAGCGAACAGGAUUAGAUACCCUGGUAGUCCC